CACGUAUUUAGCCGGAGCUUCUUACUCAGGUACCGUCAUUUUCUUCCCUGCUGAUAGAGCUUUACAUACCGAAAUACUUCUUCGCUCACGCGGCGUCGCUGCAUCAGGGUUUCCCCCAUUGUGCAAUAUUCCCCACUGCUGCCUCCCGUAGGAGUCUGGGCCGUGUCUCAGUCCCAAUGUGGCCGUCCACCCUCUCAGGCCGGCUACUGAUCGUCGCCUUGGUGGGCCGUUGCCCCGCCAACAAGCUAAUCAGACGCGGGCCCAUCCUGCACCGCCAAAGCUUUUCGCACCGCUUCAUGCGAAGCUGUGCGCUUAUGCGGUAUUAGCAGCCGUUUCCGGCUGUUGUCCCCCUGUGCAGGGCAGGUUGCCCACGCGUUACUCACCCGUCCGCCACUCAGUCGCCCGGCCUUCCUCUCCGAAGAGACUCCGUCCGAGCGCUUCGUUCGACUUGCAUGUGUUAGGCACGCCGCCAGCGUUCAUCCUGAGCCAGGA
rnacentral:rRNA from 1 species